UACGUAGGGUGCAAGCGUUAAUCGGAAUUACUGGGCGUAAAGAGCGCGUAGGCGGAGAUCUAAGCGUGGCCUGAAAGCCCCCGGCUCAACCGGGGAGUGCGGCUGCGAACUGGGUUUCUUGAGGACGAUAGAGGAGAGUGGAAUUCCUGGUGUAGCGGUGAAAUGCGUAGAUAUCAGGAGGAACACCCGAGGCGAAGGCGGCUCUCUGGGUCGUACCUGACGCUGAGGCGCGAAAGCGUGGGGAGCGAACGGG
rnacentral:rRNA from 1 species